UGGGUAGUCCGCACGAGCGCACCCUAUCCUUAGUUGCUAGCAGGUAAUGCUGAGAACUCUAAGGAGACUGCCGGUGAUAAACCGGAGGAAGGUGGGGACGACGUCAAGUCAUCAUGGCCCUUACGUGUAGGGCUACACACGUGCUACAGUGGCGCAUACAGAGUGCUGCGAACCUGCGAAGGUAAGCGAAUCACUUAAAGUGCGUCGUAGUCCGGAUUGGAGUCUGCAACUCGACUCCAUAAAGUCGGAAUCGCUAGUAAUCGCGUAUCAGAAUGACGCGGUGAAUACGUUCCCGGGCCUUGUACACACCGCCCGUCACACCAUGGGAGUGGGUUGCUCCAGAAGUAGAUAGUCUAACCCUCGGGAGGACGUUUACCACGGAGUGAUUCAUGACUGGGGUGAAGUCGUAACAAGGUAGCCCUAGGGGAACCUGGGGCUGGAUCACCUCCUU
rnacentral:rRNA from 1 species